UGGGGGGAGGGGGGCGGUCUUCCCUUCUGGCCUCCCGCUUUCUGCUUUCUGACCUGCGAAGAGGGGACAGUGCGGGCGCAGGAGCGGCGCGGGCUCGGGGGAUUCGGUCCUUCCCGGCAGUGCAUUUGGCCGGCGUGUCGCGCCGCCUCCCCUCGGCUGCGCCCGCCCGGGACCUACCCAGGAGCCACAGAGGAGGUCUUGGCAUCUCUCCCUUUCUCCCUCCUUCGCCCCUCCCCGCCGCCCUUCCGAGUGCCCGGGUCCCGCGACCAGCUCGCAGGAGCCGGUCCCCGCGGCGCGCCGUGUGCACUCACCGCGACUUCCUCGAGCCCGGGAGCGCGCGGGUCUCUCCUGGGAGAGUCGCUGGAGGCAGCGGCGCGGAGGCGCGCCUGUGACUCCGGGGCCGCGGCGGGGUCGGGAGGCGAGAUUCGCCGCCCCCCCCCCCGCCGCGGUCCCCCCCCCCCCCCGCCCCCCCCUCCCUGGGCCUCGGCGGCCCAGUGCUCCGCCCGAAGGCGGGUCCGCCAUAAACAAACGCGGCUCGGUCGCACGUGGGCCGCGGAGCUUCUGCGCCUCGCGACAGAUCGCGGGCUCCGGGCGCCGCGUCUUCAGGCACAGGGAACCGCCAGGGAGGGCAGGAGAGCGCGCCCGGGCCCGGCCCCCGCCGCCUCCGCCCAGCUCCCCUCCGCUACCCUCCCGCUCCAUGGCUCCGCGGCCGCCGCCGCCCAUGCCGCCCUCCAGGCCGGAGGGGCCUCGCGGCAGCGGGGUCGAACACUCGGUCAAGGACUAAACAGCACCGCCGCUUCCUCGCCGGCCCCUCUCCACCCUCUAAGGAAAGCCGAGGCGCGGGAGACAGGAGGGAGAAAGCAAGAGCCAGCAGAAGGGAGCGGGAAGUCGGGGCUCUGUUCGCCGCGGGACAGUCCAGCCGGGAGGAGGCUGCGCCCGGGGCGGCGCGGCCGGGUUGCGCCAAGCUCGGGGCCGGCGGCUGCAGAGAGGCGUCUCGGUGCCCCAGGCCGGCCCCGCGCACCUGCCGGCGGCCGGCGCCCCAGACUCACCUGGCCCCCGGUGCCCCCUUCCCCAUCGCCGCCGCUGCAGCCGGAGCGGGGCUCCGCGGGCCUGGAGCACGGCCGGGUCUAA
rnacentral:lncRNA from 1 species